GAUGAACGCUGGCGGCGUGCCUAAUACAUGCAAGUCGAGCGAACAGACGAGGAGCUUGCUCCUCUGACGUUAGCGGCGGACGGGUGAGUAACACGUGGAUAACCUACCUAUAAGACUGGGAUAACUUCGGGAAACCGGAGCUAAUACCGGAUAAUAUAUUGAACCGCAUGGUUCAAUAGUGAAAGACGGUUUUGCUGUCACUUAUAGAUGGAUCCGCGCCACAUUAGCUAGUUGGUAAGGUAACGGCUUACCAAGGCGACGAUGCGUAGCCGACCUGAGAGGGUGAUCGGCCACACUGGAACUGAGACACGGUCCAGACUCCGACGGGAGGCAGCAGUAGGGAAUCUUCCGCAAUGGGCGAAAGCCUGACGGAGCAACGCCGCGUGAGUGAUGAAGGUCUGCGGAUCGUAAAACGCUGUUAUUAGGGAAGAACAAAUGUGUAAGUAACGAUGCACGUCUGGACGGUACCUAAGCAGAAAGCCACGGCUAACUACGU
rnacentral:rRNA from 1 species